rnacentral:rRNA from 1 species
GACGUAGGGUGCGAGCGUUGUCCGGAUUUAUUGGGCGUAAAGAGCUCGUAGGCGGCUCGUCGCGUCGACCGUGAAAACCCGCGGCUUAACUGCGGGCUUGCGGUUGAUACGGGCGGGCUAGAGUUCGGUAGGGGAGACUGGAAUUCCUGGUGUAGCGGUGAAAUGCGCAGAUAUCAGGAGGAACACCGAUGGCGAAGGCAGGUCUCUGGGCCAUAACUGACGCUGAGAAGCGAAAGCAUGGGGAGCGAACAGG